GACGAACGCUGGCGGCGUGCCUAAUACAUGCAAGUCGAACGCUGAAGGAGGAGCUUGCUUCUCUGGAUGAGUUGCGAACGGGUGAGUAACGCGUAGGUAACCUGCCUGGUAGCGGGGGAUAACUAUUGGAAACGAUAGCUAAUACCGCAUAAGAGUAGAUGUCGCAUGACAUUUGCUUAAAAGGUGCAAUUGCAUCACUACCAGAUGGACCUGCGUUGUAUUAGCUAGUUGGUGAGGUAACGGCUCACCAAGGCAACGAUACAUAGCCGACCUGAGAGGGUGAUCGGCCACACUGGGUAGGAGACACGGCCCAGACUCCUACGGGAGGGAGCAGUAGGGAAUCUUCGGCAAUGGACGGAAGUCUGACCGGGCAACGCCGCGUGAGUGAAUAAGGGUCUCGGAUCGGAAAGAUCUGUUGUAAGGGGAGAAAGAGAGUGAGAGUGGAAAGUUCACACUGUGACGGUAUCUUACCAGAAAGGGACGGCUAACUACGUG
rnacentral:rRNA from 1 species